GACGAACGCUGGCGGCGUGCUUAACACAUGCAAGUCGAACGGAAAGGCCCUGCUUGCCGGGUACUCGAGUGGCGAACGGGUGAGUAACACGUGGGUGAUCUGCCCUGCACUUCGGGAUAAGCCUGGGAAACUGGGUCUAAUACCGGAUAGGAGCCAUUUUUAGUGUGAUGGUUGGAAAGUUUUUUCGGUGUAGGAUGAGCUCGCGGCCUAUCAGCUUGUUGGUGCGGUAAUGGCCUACCAAGGCGGCGACGGGUAGCCGGCCUGAGAGGGUGGACGGCCACAUUGGGACUGAGAUACGGCCCAGACUCCUACGGGAGGCAGCAGUGGGGAAUAUUGCACAAUGGGCGCAAGCCUGAUGCAGCGACGCCGCGUGGGGGAUGACGGCCUUCGGGUUGUAAACUCCUUUCGCUAGGGACGAAGCUUUUUGUGACGGUACCUAGAUAAGAAGCACCGGCUAACUACGUG
rnacentral:rRNA from 1 species